ensembl:lncRNA
CGGCUUUGCUUAUGAACCCAGGAGGUGGGGCCGCUGCCUUCUAAGCCAGGUUGCCCAGCAACGGAGGUGGGGCUAAGCCUACUAACUGCCAAUGAAUGAUUAACAGUCAUUUAAGAACUUUCAGUUGCUGAUCACCCGCCUUUCCGGAGGCAGUGGUCAGCAGGGGCGAUGUCUGAGUCAAGCAUAUCACCUGCGCCAGAGUCCAGCAGCAUCUGGCUUGAAGCAAGUUCAUAUUGUGAAGAUGAGGCCAGAGGUGCAAAAGGAGAAGGUGCCAGACACCCUGAAAUUGGAGUCAUGGGUUUUGAGGAACCAUGCAGAUGUUGGGAACCAAAGAAGUUUAUGUAUACUGUAAGAGUGACCACAGAAGCUAGAAAAGGCAUCAGAUCUCUUACAACUGCUAUGGGCAGUUGUGAGCAGCUAUGUGGGAGGAACUGAAGCAGAGUUUUCUGUAAGAGCAAUCGCCCAGCAGCACCAACAACCUGGUAUGCAAAAAGAUCUUACACCGCGCCAGGUUGAACCCCGGCUGAGAACCACUGCUUUGGCGAGGUUCUGAUGGGAUGACCACGUGUGUUGCUGAACAGGAAUUUAGCCUUUACCCUUGGCCCUUCUACCGCACAGGCUUUCUUCCUCCCUGUCCUUUGUCAUAAGUCUCACCUUCCUUCCACUGAGACUUUCUCUCCUGAAGCCCCUCCCUUUCAUGUCCUCUCUUGCUGAUGCUCCUCUGCGUCUUUGCUCCACCUCAGCAUCCACAGGAGCUUGACCUGAAGCCUCAACUGAUGAAUCUGUUUUAGGCUUCUAAGGAUCCAGGACAAAACUUCACUCUAGCAAGCAUUCCCAGGGACCAAUUCAGUCCAUGGCGUAUAGCUAUACCAGGUGGCAUUUCUUAAUUGGUCCUGAACAGGAGACCUACAUAGCUAAAAGCAGACUACUGAACAUGUGCUCUCUGAAGGGCUGACACAUCCUGGCUACUUAAGAUGGCUGAAUAUGAACCAGCCUCAAUCUUUCUGAACUGAUCAGGAAAAAAAGAAAGGCCUUGGGCUAGGAAGAUGCCUCAGUGGGGAAAGUACUUACUGUACAAGCAGGAGGACUUGAAACGGAAUCUCUAGCAUCCAUGUGGAAACUGAGCAUCAUAACCAGACAUCUGUAACCCCAGGGCUCAGGGGUGGGCAGAGAAAAGUAUAUCUUGGGGGCUUGCUCUUCAGACAGUCUAGCAAAAAUGCUGUGUUCCAGGUUUACUGAGAGACCUUGUCUCAAGAAAUAAAAAAUCCCUUCUUUACAAAAAGUCAUUACUUUG